rnacentral:RNase_P_RNA from 1 species
CCUGUGCAUCGCUCCACCGCCGCAUUUGCAGAACUGCGGAGGAAAGUCCGGGCAGCGUAGGGCACCGUGCUUCCUAACGGGAAGGGGCGCCACUGGGAACGGUGGCGUUACGGAAAGUGCCGCAGAAAGGGAGACCGCCAUCCGCAAGGAGGGUAAGGGUGAAAAGGUGGGGUAAGAGCCCACCAGCGCCGGUGGCGACACCGGCGGCUUGGUAAACCCCACGGGCUGAAAGACCAUGUAUACCGGGGCUCCGCCGCAAGGCGGAUAAGGGCGGCUCGUCCGAUCCCGGAGGGUAGGUCGAUUGAUCCCGUUGGCAACGACGGGACUAGAUAGAUGGUGGAGGCUCGCCGCAAGGCGGGAACAGGACCCGGCUUACAGAUGCACAGGCUCU